rnacentral:lncRNA from 1 species
CUCCAGAUGUUGUUGGACCCAAAUUCCCAUCAGCCCCUGUCAGCAUAGCCAAUGCUCAGGGAAGAUGGGAGCUGUAGUCCAGCAGCAUAUGGGGGGCAAUAGCCCACUCCACCCCUGGAACAGGCAAAUCCAUGGUGGCUCUCUCAACAGCCAUGACAGUUACCUGGAAUUUCCAGGUUUAUAUGCUAAUAACAAACAACAAGUAAAGGCCAACAGCUUCACUUCCCUUCUUCAGAGUUCCUCAGAGGCAUCUGUCAAUCUGUGGUUGGAAAUAAAAUGCUGGACUAAGUGGAUCUUGUUCCAAUUCACUAUACCAUUAUUUUACUUUCUUUCUGUCUCAGCUUUCAAUACCCUGCCCAACUGACUCCGUGUAGUUCUGCACUGCAAACCUCAAGUCAAGUAUGUUUUCUGUGGGCCAACAGAACGGUUAUCUGCAAACAUAUCGUUUGCGUGAGACAUCCCUCCAGAAUCAAUGUUGGUGUUAAAAUUGCAGGCGGCUCAAUUUCUUUCUACUGGAAGUACAUAUGGGAGCAAUAAAAGCUGUCUCCAUCAGAUGACACAUCAGAUUGGGAUUCCCUUUUAACCAUCACCAGUGGGCUGCUGUCCAAGUGGAGAUGGAAGAACAGGGAGCAGUUUUGGCAAAAUGCCACAAGGCUAGCACUAAAGCACAGAGGAAGUGUUGGAUGAGUAGUAAGCAGGAGCUCCUCCUGUCUGUUUUAUGCUUUGCCAGUGGCUUGUUCCAUAAACCAGCAGCGUAGCAAAUGUUAAUCUCCACAGUGAAGAAAUAAUUGACCCAGUCUUGUACUCAGUACAUCCUGUUGUGUGGCUAUAGAGCAGUAGUGAGGAACCAGUGGCCCUCCUGACAUUAUUGGACUACAACUUCCAUUAUCCCUGGGCCAUUGGCCAUGAUAGGAGUCUGGAAUUUUAAAGAUCUGUCAUUUACUGUACAUUGCUUGCUAAUAAAUUGUAUGGUAAAGGAAAUCCACAUAUCUCACUACUAUUUAUAUGGAUAACACUUUCCAUGCUCAUUUGUCUGUAUUUUGCUUAUAUCUAUUUUUGAAUUUGAUAUUUUGCUG